rnacentral:rRNA from 1 species
GACGAACGCUGGCGGCGUGCUUAACACAUGCAAGUCGAACGGGAUUUAGUAAACAGAAGCCUCGGUGGAAGAUUACUAAUGAGAGUGGCGAACGGGUGAGUAACGCGUGAGCAACCUGCCUAUGACAGGGGGAUAGCCUCGGGAAACCGGGAUUAAUACCGCAUAAAAUCGUAGAAAAACAUGUUUUAACGGUCAAAGAUUUAUCGGUCAUAGAUGGGCUCGCGUCUGAUUAGCUAGUUGGAGAGAUAACAGCCCACCAAGGCGACGAUCAGUAGCCGGUCUGAGAGGAUGGACGGCCACAUUGGAGCUGGGACACGGUCCAAACUCCUACGGGAGGCAGCAGUGGGGAAUAUUGCACAAUGGGGGAAACCCUGAUGCAGCGACGCCGCGUGAACGAAGAAGUUAUUCGUAUCGUAAAGUUCUGUCCUAUGGGAAGAUAAUGACAGUACCAUAGAAGAAAGCUCCGGCUAAAUACGUG